rnacentral:lncRNA from 1 species
UCUGAUUGAUACUCUUUUUUGCUUUUCUUGAACCCCGAACAAAUAUUUUCUUCCGUGCAGAUGAUCCCGGAUCACCGCAGUUGAACCCCGACACCUUCAUAGUAGUCUUGUUUGCCAAAUAAUGAACCCCGCUCUCCAUUUUGAACCCCAGUCGCCUGACGAUAGCUCGCGAUCGCCAUUGUGAACCCCAUUCUCCAGAAAACACCCUGUGUCUCCCUUUCUCCAUUUGAACCCC